UAUGUGAUCGUCUCUCGCAUAUCAAUAAGCGGAGGAAAAGAAACUAACAAGGAUUCCCCUAGUAACGGCGAGUGAAGCGGGAAGAGCUCAAAUUUGAAAUCUUAAAGGGUUUCCCUUUACGAAUUGUAGUUUAAAGAAGUGUUUUCUGUUGAGGUUUUGGUAAAAGUUCUUUGGAAUAGGACAUCAUAGAGGGUGAGAAUCCCGUAUUUGACCUUUACUUUCAACUUUGUGAUACACUUUCAAAGAGUCGGAUUGUUUGGGAAUGCAGUCCAAAAUGGGUGGUAAAUUUCAUCUAAAGCUAAAUAUUGGCGAGAGACCGAUAGCGAACAAGUACCGUGAGGGAAAGAUGAAAAGAACUUUGAAAAGAGAGUUAAACAGUACGUGAAAUUGUCAAAAGGGAAGCGUUUGACACCAGUGUUGUUUUUCUGAAAAUCAAUUAAAGAACUGUUUAUGCUAAGUUGUUUAGGACUUUAUCAGCUAACUGUUUAGUUUUGAGCUUUUCUUUAAUGCACUUUUCAGUUAACAAGUCAACAUCAAUUUCUUUUGCUGUAAAAAAGCUUGAGGAAGGUGGCUUGAGAUUCGUCUUAAGUGUUUAUAGCCUCUUGCCUAUGCAGUCGGAGAGAUUGAGGUCUGCAGCGUAGAUCCUUCGGGGCUAAAUGCAUUUGUGCUAAGUUAUAGCAUUUUCAUAGACAACUUGUUGACUAUGAUUUGUCUUGUAGCUUACUCGCUUAUGUUAUUUUACCUACGCUUAGGAUGUUGACUGAUAUGUAGUCGU
rnacentral:rRNA from 1 species